rnacentral:rRNA from 1 species
CAGCCGCCGCGGUAAUACGUAGGUGGCAAGCGUUGUCCGGAAUUACUGGGUGUAAAGGGAGCGCAGGCGGGGAGACAAGUCAGCUGUGAAAUGCAUAGGCUUAACCUAUGAAUUGCAGUUGAAACUGUUUUUCUUGAGUGGAGUAGAGGUAGACGGAAUUCCGAGUGUAGCGGUGAAAUGCGUAGAUAUUCGGAGGAACACCAGUGGCGAAGGCGGUCUACUGGGCUCUAACUGACGCUGAGGCUCGAAAGUGUGGGGAGCAAACAGGAUUAGAUACCCUGGUAGUCCACACUGUAAACGAUGAUUGCUAGGUGUGGGGGGUCUGACCCCUUCCGUGCCGGAGUUAACGCAAUAAGCAAUCCACCUGGGGAGUACGACCGCAAGGUUGAAACUCAAAGGAAUUGACGGGGACCCGCACAAGCAGUGGAUUAUGUGGUUUAAUUCGAAGCAACGCGAAGAACCUUACCAGGUCUUGACAUCCAACUAACGAAUCAGAGAUGAAUUAGGUGCCCUUCGGGGAAAGUUGAGACAGGAGGUGCAUGGCC